CAUGGGGCUCAGCAUUCUCUUGCUGCUACAGACGUUUCACUCUAUUAUUAAUAUAUGCUUUGCAUCCUUCACUUGUUGUGCAUCCUCUUACAUCUACAGGUGUUGCUCCCUUCACCUACGGUGCUCUGCUUCCUUUUAUGGCUAUGGGCUCUGCUCCCUUAUAUCGGCUUCACGCUCUUUAUCUUCUCCCCUCGCUCCAUGGGUAUUUGGGAGUUGAGAGACCGAGACAGAUCCUCAGUCGGUUGACACCACUUCGCGAUCAGCAUAAACCUAAGAUCAUUAUUGCCUAGAGAACUCAGGAAACUGAACUAAAAAGGAAAGCUCAGGGGGCUGAGCCAGACGGUGAGAUCGGAAGGCUGAACUAGAUUGUGAGCUCCGGAGGCUAAGCUAGAUGAUUAGCUUAGGAGGCCAACACAGAUGGAAAAAUUGACCUUUUCUAUUGUCAAAGCACUAGAAUUUUCUAAUUUGGCGACGGCUUUUCUUGUCAAACCACAAACUUAUAUUAUUUCUAGAAGCACGAGGAUCAAACCGGUCGUGAAUUUGUUUAUUUUUUUAA